rnacentral:rRNA from 1 species
GACGAACGCUGGCGGCGUGCUUAACACAUGCAAGUCGAACGGAAAGGCCCUGCUUUUGUGGGGUGCUCGAAUGGCGAACGGGUGAGUAACACGUGAGUAACCUGCCCUUGACAUUGGGAUAACUUCAGGAAACUGGGGCUAAUACCGGAUAGGAGCUCCUGCUGCAUGGUGGGGGUUGGAAAGUUUCGGCGGUUGGGGAUGGACUCGCGGCUUAUCAGCUUGUUGGUGGGGUAGUGGCUUACCAAGGCUUUGACGGGUAGCCGGCCUGAGAGGGUGACCGGCCACAUGGGGACUGAGAUACGGCCCAGACUCCUACGGGAGGCAGCAGUGGGGAAUAUUGCACAAUGGGCGGAAGCCUGAUGCAGCAACGCCGCGUGCGGGAUGACGGCCUUCGGGUUGUAAACCGCUUUCGCCUGUGACGAAGCGUGAGUGACGGUAAUGGGUAAAGAAGCACCGGCUAACUACGUG